rnacentral:rRNA from 1 species
GACGAACGCUGGCGGCGUGCCUAACACAUGCAAGUCGAGCGGGGACUUGGGAGCUUGCUCCCGGGUUCUAGCGGCGGACGGGUGAGUAACGCGUGAGCAACCUGCCUCGAACUGGGGGAUAACGCAUCGAAAGAUGUGCUAAUACCGCGUAAGACCACAGCGCCACAUGGCGCAGGGGUCAAAGGAGCAAUCCGGUUUGAGAUGGGCUCGCGUCCGAUUAGCUAGUUGGUGAGAUAACAGCCCACCAAGGCGACGAUCGGUAGCCGACCUGAGAGGGUGAUCGGCCACAUUGGAACUGAGACACGGUCCAGACUCCUACGGGAGGCAGCAGUGGGGAAUAUUGGGCAAUGGGCGAAAGCCUGACCCAGCAACGCCGCGUGAGGGAAGAAGGGUUUCGGCUCGUAAACCUCUGUCCUAUGGGACGAAUAAGGUGACGGUACCAUAGGAGGAAGCCCCGGCUAACUACGUGCCAGCAGCCGCGGUAAUACGUAGGGGGCGAGCGUUGUCCGGAAUGAUUGGGCGUAAAGGGCGCGUAGGCGGCCUGGUAAGUCUGGAGUGAAAGUCCUGCUUUUAAGGUGGGAAUUGCUUUGGAAACUGCUAGGCUCGAGUGCAGGAGAGGAAAGCGGAAUUACCGGUGUAGCGGUGAAAUGCGUAGAGAUCGGUAGGAACACCAGUGGCGAAGGCGGCUUUCUGGACUGAAACUGACGCUGAGGCGCGAAAGCGU